AGAGUUUGAUCAUGGCUCAGGAUGAACGCUAGCUACAGGCUUAACACAUGCAAGUCGAGCGGUAUGUGCUUUAGUGCAUACGGCGGCAGACGGGUGAGUAACACGUAUCUAACCUUCCCCUUACUUGGGCAUAGCCUCUGGAAACGGAGAUUAAUUUCCGAUGUGGUGUACAUUUCGCAUGUUUUGCGCACCAAAGAUUUAUCGGUAAGGGAUGGGGAUGCGCUCCAUUAGGUUGUAGGUAGGGUAAUGGCCUACCUAGCCUAUGAUGGAUAGGGGUUCUGAGAGGAAGGUCCCCCACAUUGGAACUGCGACACGGUCCAAACUCCUACGGGAGGCAGCAGUGAGGAAUAUUGGUCAAUGGCCGGAAGGCUGAACCAGCCAAGUAGCGUGCAGGAUGACUGCCUUAUGGGUUGUAAACUGCUUUUUUACGGGAAUAAUUAUGAUCACGUGUGAUUAUUUGCAUGUACCGUAAGAAUAAGGAUCGGCUAACUCCGUGCCAGCAGCCGCGGUAAUACGGAGGAUCCUAGUGUUAUCCGGAUUUAUUGGGUUUAAAGGGAGCGUAGGCGGGAGGUCAAGUCAGCUGUGAAAUGCAUCUGCUUAACGGGUACACUGCAGUUGAAACUGGUUUUCUUGAGUGCGUAAGAGGCAGGCGGAAUUCGUUGUGUAGCGGUGAAAUGCUUAGAUAUGACGAGGAACUCCUAUUGCGAAGGCAGCUUGCUGGGUCGUUACUGACGCUGAUGCUCGAAAGGUGCGGGGAUCAAACAGGAUUAGAUACCCUGUAGUCCGCACAGUAAACUAUGGAUACUCUCUGCCGGCGAUACAUUGUCGGUGGCCAAGCGAAAGCGUUAAGUAUCCCACCUGGGGAGUACGUUCGCAGAAUGAAACUCAAAGGAAUUGACGG
rnacentral:rRNA from 1 species